AUGAGACUGGUGACAAGACUGACUGUGCUUCUGGCAUUGGCAACUUUGAGCCUUUCUAAGACCACUCAGCCCAUCUCCAUUGACUCCUAUGAAGGACAAGCAGUGAACAUAACUUGUAACCACACUGGCAUUGCUACAAAUGAGUAUAUCUACUGGUACCGGCAGCCCCCCAACCAGGGGCCACGAUUUAUUGUUCAAGGAUAUAAGACCGAUGUGGUGGUGGAUAAAGUGGCAUCUCUGUUUAUUCCUGAGGACAGGAAGACCAGCACCCUGAGACUGCCUCCGACCACACUGAGUGACUCGGCUGUGUACUACUGCAUUGUGGGUGACACAGUGACACAGACAGGGCUGCACCUGUGCAGGAUCCCCCCAGGCUGGGGGCACAGCCAGGGGGAGCCCAAGGGAUGCUUUUGA